CGAGACGUGGGAGCUUCUAGGGACGAGAUCGAGCUCCUUCUUAACCUCCUCAAACAGCUGGAAAACGACGCCGCUUGGCUCCUUUUGAUGCAUAUUUUUUUUUCCAUAACUAUUUAUAAACAAUAUUAAUCACUUUAAAUUUUAACAUCAGAGCUAAAAUGUGAAAAUCACUUUGCAUAUAAUAAUAUAGAUGUGACGGAUAUUUAAAAAAAUUAAAAAAAACUAAUGUAUGAUAUAGUAGUAACAUAUAAAUCAAUUUUGAAAGAGGUCACAUGCAUGUUUUCAUAUAUACACUAGAUUAAAAUUUUAGAGGAAAUUCUAACUUUACCUUGAUAUUACUUUUCAAAUUUUAGAGGAAAUUCUGUUACAGACGACGAGAACUGAGAAGAGGCGAUUCACGAGAAGAGAGAAUCGAAGAGGAAGAGUUUCACCUGGGUGAUUGAUCGGAGACUGAAGUGGAAGAAGCUCCGGUGAUAUCACUGCAUCAGGAUCCGAUUACCGGUGGUGUAUUUUCCAGGAAGGUUCGCGGAGGAUAGCAGAGGAGAAACGUCCUUGAUUCCGCCAUGGAAACUCACGAGCAGCAGAAGACGAAGAAACCGUCUUGAGAAACAUUUUUGACCGUUGAGAUGCUUUCGCCAGAAAACUGGACAAGGAUGAUGAAGAAGAAGACCGAUGGAGUGAUGAUGAUGAAGCUGUGGAUGAUUAAAAAAAAUAUUAUUUUUUCUUUCAAAUUUAUAUAAAAUAAGUACUAAUUAUAAUAUAAUAUUUGUUAAUUCACGCUACCGAAGAAAAAGAAAAGUUAAAAGACGAACGACAUAUUAAUAUUUGUUAUUUAUAUUUAUAUUUGGUAACAUAAUACAAUUUAUUAUGCCACAAACACUAACAAUAAUUAAUAAUGUUAUGUUUUUUCCUCUGAUAAAGGCGUGUAUUAUUAUAAAUAUUAUUUGAGUUCCAAUGUAGAUAAAAAAAAUCAAGGGUAACACAUAUUAUUUUUAUGUUUUUGAUACAUGCAUAAGCAAGUCCUCCCCCCCUGCGGGCCAAUGCAUUCACCAAUCCCAUUCCUUUUUCUGGUACAUUCAGCUUUACAAUCGUCCUUAGUACAGUCUCCAUUUUUCAGUUUGUAUUCUAUUGUACAAGGAAGUAAUUUAUGUGGUGGUCCUCCUUUCUGAGCAAUCGUCAUUACUCCUGUUAUUAUAAUAGUUAAAACAAAACUUUAGUCUUCGUAUUUAAAUAGAAAUUAAUGUUUUUGGUAAAACAUAUGUUUAGAGAGUUUUUUGCAUAUUUAUAGGGAAAAAAACUUAAAGUAUGAACAUCUUCUUUCUUAAUCAUUGAUUAUUUUGGAAAAAAUUUCUACACCCAAAGUUAUAGAAUUCGAUAUAAAAGUUAUAUUAUCAGUACAUAAAAUAAAAUGAUAUCAGAAUAACUUUAAUUUUAAAUGAUUUUUGAAUAUAAUAAUAAAAUUGUAAAUAUAAAUAUCAACCGAACAGAAGAACUGUGACUAUGAAGAGACCAAUAAGCGAAGGUUGAAAAUCAUUUUUCAUCUUAGAUAAUGAACUAGAGGUGUUUUAAAUUUACAAAGAAAGAGAAGUAUAUUUAUAGAUGAAUAAAAAAUUAAAACAUAUCUAAUUUAAGCUAUGUAUCUUCUAAAAUUCCGAUAUAAAAGGAUCUAAUUUGACCAAAAAUCUUUUUAAAAAAUUUCGUUUUUUUAUAGAUAAAAAAGUUGAAUUGGUUAUUUUUAAUGUAUUUAAAAUAUUUCUCGAUAUAUACAUAAAAACAACCAAUCGUCAAAGCUCUAUGAGGCGCAAUAUACAAAGUGUGAAGACGACAUGGUUAUUUUUAAUGUAUUUAAAAUAUUUCUCGAUAUAUACAUAAAAACAACCAAUCGUCAAAGCUCUGCAUCACAAAACCUUGAGAAACUAACACACAAGCUAGUUGAUACAUUGCUAGAGAGCUUCAUAGAGUAUAACCCCACGAGAGUACGCGAGACCUUAAAAUUCCCUUGAAGCCGCUUUAACUGUUCCAGAAGCAUUUGAUUGAAAUGCCAUGUCCCUGAAGAUCACACCACAAACAUUCAAAAGAAAUAAGCACGGAGAGCAGGAUGAAUCAACUUCUCAGCGUGCUCUGUUUCUUCCACACUCGAUUCCUUGAAGAACCUGAAACCAAAAAUGCGUAUCGGAGCAAGCAUACAUGGCGUGAUACUGAUACACAUACGAGAGAUUGUACUCCACACUACAAUACAACAACCACACGAUGGAUAAACCGUCAGCAGCAGAUUCUCAAGUACUAAAUCUUGUAACUAAUCCACCAGAUUACGAAUCCUACUCUCGAAGAGAUAGGGAGGUGAGAUCCGAAAACUUACUUGAUCUGCUCGUCAGAGUACUUUUGACGACCGAGCGAGACGUGGGAGCUUCUAGGGACGAGAUCGAGCUCCUUCUUAACCUCCUCAAACAGCUGGAAAACGACGCCGCUUAGCUCCUUUUGAUGCAUAUAUUUUUUUCCAUAACUAUUUAUAGAGUUGAUUACAUAAUGGGACACUUUUUGAGUUUCAUUUGCAUCCAGGGACACUUCCCACUUGUUGCACACAUUCACGGAGAUUGAGGAAGCUUUUGGACUAUUUUGCCAUCUGAUAAAAUUUAUUCAAAGUAGGAGUACAAGGUGAUACAUGAGCUGACGGAUAAAUAUGUGGAUGUGGACAUGAGUUUGUGGACAGAUUAAUGUUUUUGGUUUUUUUUUUUUUGAUCAACAAUGUUUUUGGUUUCUCUCGACAGAAUUUUAUUUGUUAUUAUUUCCUAUUAUUAUAUAUAAAUUUGAAAUAUAAUAUAUAUAAUAAAUUAUAUCAAGAUUUCUAUGUUUUGAGAUUCAUAUGUAUAUUUUAAUUUUUAUAAAAUUUAAAAAUGAGUUAAAUGGACACAAUAUCAUGGAUAAUGUUGUGGACAAUGCAAUUUGAACACAUUCAUCUUUUAAAUUUUAUAAAAUUUAAACCUGAAUUAAGUGUACAUAGUAUCAUGGACAACGUUUUGUGGACGGUGCAAUUUGAAAAAUUGUGUUGUGAACCUGUGCAAUUUGAAAAAUGAGUUAUGGAUGGCGUGUGUGUGGACGUGUACGUUGGUUCCUAUAGGUGAUGAGCACAUGACCAUGAUCUACUAAAACAGCUAACCAUUUACAGCAAUAACAUUGAAAUGAAAAACACCCUGAUUUAGUUCUUUUAAA
rnacentral:lncRNA from 1 species